rnacentral:rRNA from 1 species
AUUGAACGCUGGCGGCAUGCCUAACACAUGCAAGUCGAACGAGUGGCGGACGGGUGAGUAAUGUCUGGAAACCUGCCUGAUGGAGGGGGAUAACUACUGGAAACGGUAGCUAAUACCGCAUACCAUCAGAUGUGCCCAGAGGGGAUUAGCUUGUUGGUGGGGUAAAGGCUCACCAAGACGACGUUCCUUAGCUGGUCUGAGAGGAUGACCAGAGACACGGGAACUGUGACACGGUCAAACGGCCUACGGGAGGCAGCAGGUGGGAAGCUUGGGAAAUGGGCGCAAGCCUGAUGCAGCCAUGCCGCGUGAAUGAAGAAGGCUUUAGGGUUGUAAAGGACUUGCAGCGGGGAGGCGUUACCCGCAGAAGAAGCACCGGCUAACUCCGUGCCAGCAGCCGCGGUAAUUC